CUACCAUGGCAAUCACGGGUAACGGAGAAUUGGGGUUCGAUUCCGGAGAAGGAGCCUGAGAAACGGCUACUACGAAUACGUUAGGCAGCAGGCGCGUAAAUUACCCAAUCGAAACACUCGGAGGUAGUUACGAGACGUAGUAUACCAGAGACUUACAUCUCUAGUUUUACAAUGGAUUUUAAACCAAACCACUUAAUGAGGUCUAGUGGAGGGCAAGUCUGGUGCCAGCAGCCGCGGUAAUUCCAGCUCCACUGGGAUAUCUUAAUGUUGUUGCAGUUAAAAAGCUCGUAGUCGAAUUUCUGGCCGGGAGAAGCCGACAUCACCGUGCUUAUCCUAGGUCAUCCGCCUUUGAGGUUAUAAGGGCAUUAAUGUUGUCCUGUAGCGGAUUGGGCAUUUUACUUUGAAAAAAUUAGAGUGUUUCAGGCAGGCCUCCGCUUGAAUACAUCAGCAUGGAAUAAUGGAAUAGGACACUUCUCAUUUCUUGGUUCGUGAGAUUUGUAAUGAUUAAUAGGGACAGUUGGGGGCAUUUGUACUGGGUUGUCAGAGGUGAAAUUCUUCGAUUAACCCAAGACAAACUAAUGCGAAGGCAUCUGCCAAGGAUGUUUUCAUUGAUCAA
rnacentral:rRNA from 1 species